rfam:Ovis aries breed Texel chromosome 10, whole genome shotgun sequence.
UCCCUGGUGGCUCAGUGGUUAAAGCAUCUGCCUCCAAUGCAGGAGACCUGGGUUCGAUCCCUAGGUUGGGAA